UUGGAGGGCAAGUCUGGUGCCAGCAGCCGCGGUAAUUCCAGCUCCAAUAGCGUAUAUUAAAGUUGUNGCAGUUAAAAAGCUCGUAGUUGAAUUUCGGGAUUAAUUUAUUGGUCGUGCUAUUGUACGNACUGGUAUUAUUGAUUCCUACCUUCNGACGAACCACGAUGUCAUUAAUUUGGUGUCAUGGGGAAUCAGGACUGUUNCUUUGAAAAAAUUAGAGUGUUUAAAGCAGGCUCACGCUUGAAUACAUUAGCAUGGAAUAACGAAAUAGGACGUUUGAUUCUAUUUUGUUGGUUUCUAGGAUCGACGUAAUGAUUAAUAGGGAUAGUUGGGGGCAUUAGUAUUCAAUUGUCAGAGGUGAAAUUCUUGGAUUUAUUGAAGACUAACUACUGCGAAAGCAUUUGCCAAGGAUGUUUUCAUUAAUCAAGAACGNAAGUUAGGGGAUCGAAGACGAUCAGAUACCGUCGUAGUCUUAACCAUAAACUAUGCCGACUAGGGAUCGGAUGAUGUUAAUUUUUUAAUGACUCAUUCGGCGCCUUACGGGAAAC
rnacentral:rRNA from 1 species